GGCCGACUGGUGUAGUGGUUAUCACGUCUGCUUUACAUGGAGAGCUUCAGAGCACUCCUCAUAACGCAGCAGGUCGCCGGUUCGAUCCCGGCGUUGGUCA
rnacentral:tRNA from 1 species